rnacentral:rRNA from 1 species
UACGUAGGGUGCGAGCGUUAAUCGGAAUUACUGGGCGUAAAGCGUGCGCAGGCGGUUUUGUAAGCCUGAUGUGAAAGCCCCGGGCUUAACCUGGGAAUGGCAUUUGGGACUGCAAGGCUUGAGUGCGGCAGAGGAGACUGGAAUUCCUGGUGUAGCAGUGAAAUGCGCAGAUAUCAGGAGGAACACCCGUGGCGAAAGCGGCUCUCUGGGACGGUACUGACGCUGAGACGCGAAAGCGUGGGGAGCAAAAGGG